ACUGACACGAUCACAUUGUUUUACUUGUUUAUUCUGCUAAUGAUUGAUUUUUCAAAUAUUUGACAGCGGCAAUAGUUUGGAUCUUGAAUGCCCCCCAAGGGCCUGUGUGUUGGGGGCUUGUCCCCUAGACUGUGGUUCAAUGGGGAGGUGGUGGAACCCUGAAGGGUGGGGCCCCGUUGGAGGAAGUUGGUCACCAGGGGUGUGCCCUUGAAGGGAUGCUGGGAUCCAGCCCCUUCCUGCCUGUCUUUCUGCUUCCCAGCCUGUGAGGGAAACAGGCCACCCCUGCCAUAUGUCACUGAGCCUCCACAGGCCCAAAGCAGCAGGAUCAGACAACCCUGGAAGCUCUGAAACCACAGCCAGAGUAAACCUUUCCUCUUCUGGACUUGAUUCUCUCAGGAUGCUUCCAUUCACUUAAUGUCACCAACCAGCAAUUCCUGGAUGUUUCUUGAAUUUUCUGGAAGCCCCUCCCGGCUUGAAGCAGACUCUGUCUACCGGGUCAAUAGUUCCUGGGGCUUUCCUAACAGCGGCCCGUGCUUAUACUACAUUUGCUGGAUGCUGUUCUGCAAAAUGGCCGAAGAGUUUCACCCCCACCCCCAGGCUUGGUCGGGUUCCAAGUCUGCAUGUGAACAUGGACCCAUCAGCUGUGCCAACAACUUUGACACAGUUUCUCAUCAGAGAGCGGCUGGCCCUCCCACACAGUCCCACAAAACCUCUGACUCUCCAGUAACUCAUUAGACACUGCUCCCCGGCAGGCCCUGGAGCCCAGGCUGGGGAGGGCCUCCCUCAUCCAAGAAAAGGCGCUUACUUCACCAUCCCACAACCAAACACCAAGCUUGGCAAAAAUAAAAAUAGCAGCCUUUGUUUCAACCCUG